GAAUGCGCGGAAGCCUGGUGUUACUCACUUGGUUCUUGGUUGGACCUCGGCCUCUAUGUAUUACGUGAAAUGUUGAACUCAUGGUUGAACUAUAGUUGAACAAAGUAGGGUCAGGCCACGGGCCAGGCCCAGGCAAGCUAGAUGAAAGUAGCUUCCGUAGCUUCAACGCCGUCUUUCAAGUUCUCAGUCUAAGAUUUCCCCGGAUAUAUAAACGAAACUUUGUUGACUUGAAUUUCUGUUUACAACCCCCAACGACCACAACAAUCUGCAUAUUCGCAAUCCGCAAAAAUGCUCAGGAAUGUCUCUGAACGUGAUAAGUAUAUUUCAUGGUAUAUUUAGUCUAUUCAGUAGAUCCUAUAGAUCUAGUGUAGGGUGUAGGUAGAUCUAGCUACACUGGGCCACGCUUUGUGGCUUUCACCGCUUUCACGCUUCCGUGUGUUAUUUCUCAUUAUUUACGGUUUGGAUUUUGUAGCGGAAAAUGCUUCGUCGUCACAGGACACUUCGAUCUCUAUUUCACACGCCAAAAAUUCGUUAAGUAAGCGUCGUGGCCACAAUGAGGUACCGUUGUAUGCACAUCGUGGCUUCCUCAUAAUCGACGCUCUUCUGUUGCGUUUCUUUUGUCUGGCCAGCGAAAUAGAAAAUGAAAGGCUGUGUAGUCUGUGGAAUUACUUAUCAUGCCGCAGCGAUACGUCGACGUGAUAGUGGGGAAGCCAUAUCAUACCAUGAAGUUCCUUCCGACCCAGAUCUGCGCAAAAAGUGGUUUGGUGUGAUUCACGAACAUGCCAACGUGACAACUGAACUCACUCCGUACUCUAAGGUGUGCAGCCAACACUUUCUGCCGUCUGACUUCAAGGGAACCCAUCGCCGUGUCUUGCGGAAGGGCAUAAUUCCCACUUUGUUCAACCACAAGCAAAACACUGAACAAGAACAGAAGCUCUCUCGUAAAAAGCGCCAGCCGCGGUUAACAUCCACCACAUCCCUUAAGACUUAUCAAAUUGUUCACACGACACCUCUAGCGGAAGGUGUUUCAAAGUCAAAGCGCAUUACAAUAGAAAGGAAACGCAAAAAAGUGCACCAAGCCAGUAGUACUGCUAAGGGUGACAGUGGUGCUCAGGGUGCUGUCUCUGCACUGAAUGAAGACGAACAAGAGAGCGCUGAAAGCAUCCCUGACGUGUAUGUGGAAGUGAUCACUGAGGAUAGUCUCUCACAUCUCAACAGUGAAAGUUGUGCACCGCAGUCACAGCCGUUCAUUCCACACGAGAAUUCACCCGAGGAGCCUGCGACGGAAUGUUGCAGCGUGAAACCGGGUACCCUUGGACCACUGCUUCACAAAGUACCCGUAGUGCGAAAAUCAGUGCGGCCUGAACUGACUCCCUCGUGUCAUACGAGGAUGCAUGAGUUGAGUACAAUUGUGACCGAAGUACCGGUUGUGUCCAUGGCACCUACGCCACGUAAUGCCAUAAAAUGCUCUACCUCUACAACUUAACACCUGUGAAGAACUAGGCAGAGCUUUGACCCAUUGUGUAGUUUGCGGCAGUGAAGCAUGGGCAUUACAAUUAAAAGAGUGUCAUUUUUUGCAUCUCUGCGGCAUCUUUCAGUUGCCUACGUGUAAUUUGGCCUUCUUACUUUUGACGAGCAUGUGCGUCAAGAAAGAAGGCUGGUGGAGUUUCUCGGAUAUUCGCAAAAAUGUACGCAAAGUUGAGCCAUGAAACUGAAGAUAACUUGGCAUUUGCAUUAAUCCUGUGGUGUCUUUCCUUCCGAAGCUGGUACUACACCCCUCUGGCUGGGGUUGUGUCUGCGGUGUUAUGCUCCAUGUGCACGUAGACAUCUGUGCGCGUAUUUGUACAUGCUUGACAUGACUCCUCUUUCACAAUCUUUGGGUGGAGGAUUAAAGCGAGAUCAUUGAAAUGGAAAACAAACAAACCGUUGGUACCAACAUGGUGCACUUUAUGGCGGCAGCGAGUAUGGAAUUUGCAAGGGCUGCGUUGGGGGUUAAUCCUGAAAACAACAAUGCAACAAUGUUGAAAUAAGAUUUAGAGCAUGGGCAAAUAAUUCUUAAUGUAACUUGAUGACCCCCAUGUAGAAGCCAAUGUACAAGCUUGCACUUUUGCAGUGGAGUUAUCUCAUAGCUAUGUGUGCUAAAAACGCUAACAACGGGAAAAUGGUGGCAAAGGUUGGUUGGUGGUGUUAGAGCUAUGUGCCAGGCAGAUUUUUUGGUGGCGUCGUCGUCGCACAGAAUUAUGUGGCGUAGGCAUGCACCACCCCGGCGUUUAUGGUGGUGGCGGCGGCAACAUGCAAUCAGCUAAUCUACACCUCAUCAACAUAAACGGUAAACGUGUUCGCGUUUGCGCAGUUCCAACUUUCCCAGAGUUUUUCUCGCAGGCUGUAAGGCAAAUCUCAGCGCAGUUUCCAUCAAGUCAGCCCAGGAGGCACGAUCCCUCUCUCCAAGCAACACGCCACACACCGGCAGGCAGUCUUCUCGGCAGAAACGCACCACCAACCAACCCUCCAAAUAAAUGCUUUCUGUUCUCAGUUCGAAAUGGAUAUGGAAAUGGGGCAUCGAGUGUGUGCAGAAUUUUUUGCUCUUGCAUUGUUGGACAUAAAAUUGGAAGCCAUACUUCCCACGUUCCUCCUUCAAUAUUCGCGACAUAAUUGAAUCAUUGAAUCCUUGUAAUGUGCUUUUUGAGCAGCGUGGUGCUUCUGGGGUGUGGGGUCAUGCGUCCUGGGGAGACUUCACGGGUGAACGGACGAAGCUUGCAAAGAAGAAAAAGCAUAAAGGAGGACAACAUGCGAAAUAUAUGCAUACAUAUGUAUAACUGGAAACAAGUACUGAAAAUAAGACAAAAGAAAUAGCUUUCCGUGACGUAAUGCCGCCGAUGCUGCGGCGCUGCUCGCGCGACUUGCGAGUGCGGACUGAAUGGAAUGUGACAUGGCUGCAAGGAUUGUGAUAUUCGCGUAGUUUCGGUGCUAUGUAGUAUCAUGCUAUUGUAAAGGUUUAUUGCAUGCUACGUCACCUUUUCACAAUGCGAACAAAGUUGAGAUGGAUCUUUCUGAUGCUUAUAUUUAUAAACUUCUCCAUGGUGUUUUUUAUGUGGACGUACUUGGACAGAAAAUGCGCGUGUACCUCCGACACACCGAAACAAGGUACUGCCCAGCAAGCCGGUCAGCAGAAACCUCCAGACGAGGAACAGCGAUCGUCAACUGUCACACCUUUAGACAACAUCUACAACCUGCCAAAUACAAUGAUCACGCUGGUAUUUCGAGAUUUCGAGCCCUUUGAACACGAUCUCGUCGAAACAAUCCGUUCAUUCCACAUGGUAUUUCCACACAUGCCAAUUGUGUUGUUCGCCGACACCCAUCCCUAUCCACCUUUACGAUUUCCAGCCGAUGAGUUUGGGCAUAACGUCAGCGUAGUGUCACUGAACAAGGAGCCGAGCGACUCUUCGAACAGAACGAAGCUCGAGCGGCUUCUCAAAACUGACUACGUACUCUUUGCUCCGGACUCGGUGCGUUUUACUCAGCCGGCUGUGAUAACCGAUAUGGUGAAACACAUAUUCAAGCACACUCGAGAUAUCGUAGCGAUCCGUGUUGCUGGUGAAAAGGCUCGGUGUCUCGACGUCGAAGCUGACUUGAGAGAGUGGACGCUCAUUUACAAAGAAAAAAGUUCGUCGCUUACGUGCGACGCGUUGCUCGGGGAUCAUCUUUUACUUGUGAAAACGAGCAUGGUGCUCGAUUUGAGUGACGCCUUAGCAAGACCGUUUCCAGAAGCAUUCUUUAUCCAAACUGCACUGAGAAAUAUACAGACUCACGUUCUACCAGAGCAUGUCGUUAAAACUGGCAAAACGCUUUUCACGACUGAUCACCUCCGGCAGAAGCGGCGUCGACUUGAAGAGGCACGCAGAGUCGACCUCUACGACAGGUUUGGAAUCAAAAAAGUUCACCAAGCUGGCGGUGAACUGCGGUGGUACGGUUGCGAUCGUACGACUACACGCUGUUUUGGGACGGUCGUCGACGAGACUCCGGAAUACCUCUACCGCGGUCGUUGGACACCUCCAUGUUGCCUCGAAAACUUGAGGAAAACUGCAAGAUACGUGUUCCGCAUCUUGGACCACUGUCACGUGCGCUACUGGCUCGAAGGCGGCAGCCUGCUGGGUGCCGUGAGAAACCACGACAUCAUACCUUGGGAUUACGACGUCGACAUCGGCAUCUAUCGGGACGACAUUGAGAAAUGUCAGUGGUUAAAAAACGCGAGGAAGCAGUCGGUCAUAGACAGCGAUGGGUUUGUCUGGGAACAGGCAACGGAAGGUGACUUUCUGAGGGUCCAGUACAGUCAAACGAAUCACAUGCACGUGGACAUUUUUCCGUUUUAUUUAAAAGAAGGCGGCGUAAUGACAAAAGACACGUGGUUCGCAUCGCAUAGACAAGACUGCGAGUUUCCAGAGGCGUACCUCAAGCCUCUGACAAAAAUACUGUUUGCCGGAGUGUACGCGGCUGCUCCAAAUAAUGCGACACAGUUUCUGGAGCUGAAGUUUGGCAAAGGGGUUGUGGAGAAGCCCCAAUACCCGAAUCCAGAGGUUCUGAAAUUGGCGAGGUCGUGACUUGUGGGUUGAAACGUGAUAACUGGUGAGGUCUUGGUAGCUACAGAUGUUGAGACUCUCAAUUCUUGUGGUGGGACGUAUGCCAAAGAAGCCACAUUGUGCAACGGUCAUGUCAGCAUUUCUGCGCUAGAGGGGCAUGCUGCCGCAGGUCAUCAAAAAAAGUGCCACAUGUGUCGCUAUUAGGCUGUGAGACACACAUGUAUGUGAAAUGUUUUAAACCGUAUGCAAAAAUGCAGCCCGUGAAGGCAAAAACGAGAUUCCUGUGACCCCUGCUCCUGAAACACCACUGUGAAUGUACACAAGGGUGUACAAGUGCAGCUAUAAUAUUUGAGAAAACCAUAAUCUCGAACAGUGCCCUGUACUGAGGUUGUAUCUCGCAAAAGACUUCGGGACAAUUUGUGCAGCAAAGACUUUUCGUGCGAAAAAGAUUCAAAGGCUGCUCCUGAGUGUACUUCGAAAACCACGCAAGACGUAGCAAACUCCAAGUCUAGAGCAUUACUGUUGCAGAAACGAUUAGGUACU